rnacentral:rRNA from 1 species
GUGAACGCUGGCGGUAGGCCUAACACAUGCAAGUCGCACGGCAGCACAGUAAGGGCUUGCUCUUACGGGUGGCGAGUGGCGGACGGGUGAGGAAUACAUCGGAAUCUACUUUUUCGUGGGGGAUAACGUAGGGAAACUUACGCUAAUACCGCAUACGACCUACGGGUGAAAGCAGGGGAUCUUCGGACCUUGCGCGAUUGAAUGAGCCGAUGUCGGAUUAGCUAGUUGGCGGGGUAAAGGCCCACCAAGGCGACGAUCCGUAGCUGGUCUGAGAGGAUGAUCAGCCACACUGGAACUGAGACACGGUCCAGACUCCUACGGGAGGCAGCAGUGGGGAAUAUUGGACAAUGGGCGCAAGCCUGAUCCAGCCAUACCGCGUGGGUGAAGAAGGCCUUCGGGUUGUAAAGCCCUUUUGUUGGGAAAGAAAAGCAGCAGGUUAAUACCCCGCUGUUCUGACGGUACCCAAAGAAUAAGCACCGGCUAACUUCGUG